CCAGACUCCUACGGGAGGCUGCAGUCGAGGAUCUUCGGCAAUGGGCGCAAGCCUGACCGAGCGACGCCGCGUGUGCGAUUAAGGCCUUCGGGUUGUAAAGCACUGUCGAGGGGGAGAAAAGCCCGCAAGGGUCUGAUCUAUCCCUGGAGUAAGCACGGGCUAAGUUCGUGCCAGCAGCCGCGGUAAGACGAACCGUGCAAACGUUGUUCGGAAUCACUGGGCUUAAAGGGCGCGUAGGCGGGCGGUCAAGUCUGUGGUGAAAUCCUUCGGCUUAACCGGAGAAUAGCUGGAGAUACUGACCGUCUCGAGGGGGGUAGGGGCAUGUGGAACUUCCGGUGGAGCGGUGAAAUGCGUAGAUAUCGGAAGGAACGCCGGUGGCGAAAGCGACGUGCUGGACCCUUUCUGACGCUGAGGCGCGAAAGCCAGGGGAGCAAACGGGAUUAGAUACCCCGGUAGUCCUGGCCCUAAACGAUGGGUACUAGAUUGUGGGCUGACAUGGGUUCACAGUCGAAGCAAAAGUGUUAAGUACCCCGCCUGGGGAGUAUGGUCGCAAGACUG
rnacentral:rRNA from 1 species